AUCGAACGCUGGCGGCAGGCCUAACACAUGCAAGUCGAGCGAGCGGCGGACGGUUGCGUAAUGUAUGGGGACUGCCCGAUAGCGGCGGAUAACUACUGGAUACGGUGGCUAAUACCGCAUUCUGUCGGAUUCGCCAUAUGGGAUUAGCUAGUGGGUAAGGUAAUGGCUUACCUAGGCGACGAUCCCUAGCUGGUCUGAGAGGAUGAUCAGCCACACUGGGACUGAGACACGGCCCAGACUCCUACGGAGGCAGCAGUGGGGAAUAUUGCACAAUGGGCGCAAGCCUGAUGCAGCCAUGCCGCGUGUAUGAAGAAGGCCCUAGGGUUGUAAAGUACUGUCAGUCGGGAGGCGUUACCGACAGAAGAAGCACCGGCUAACUACGUGCCAGCCGCCGCGGUAAUUC
rnacentral:rRNA from 1 species